rnacentral:tRNA from 1 species
GUCUCCAGUAGCUCAGUGGUGAGAGCAUCCGACUUUAUCACGGAGGGUUCAAAUCCCAUCUGGGACA